rnacentral:lncRNA from 1 species
ACAGUCACCUUUGGCACUGCCACCCAGGACCACCACGCCAAGGCUGCAUACUCCAUGCUCAGACCGCACGAGGGCAGAGGAUGGUAGAGUCACCUCCUUGAGCAACUUCACUAAAAGGAGGGAAACACGGACUUCCCCUGCUAAUGACUUUGUAAGUUUGCUUGCGACAGGAAGAUUCCGAGGAACUGAUAGUGCUGGCGGCUCCAGAUCAAACGCUAUUAAGCCUGCUAUGUAUGGUGUUGGAGAUGCUCCCCACACCCUCACACCCUCAGAGAAGGAGGGGAAGGAAGCUAGCAGCCGUGCUUGAUCAAGGUACCUGCUGCCACCUCGCAGUACUGCUCCCGAGCAUGGCCGACUGUGAGCAGAGUUAAGACCACCUUAUUUUGAUUACGCCGCUUUCCUCAGGCAGGAAUUUUUAUUUCAUUUUGAAUCUUAAAACCAUUCUAUUUCCAGCCAUGCAUUUUUAUGUUUACAAUUGACAUCUUCAUAAAAGAAUGGAACCUUUGAGCGACAGCUCAGAAGCAUGAAGGUUGCCUGCAAAAGGCCCCGAGUUGCAAAGAACGAACUUUCCAAUGAAACAUAUUUUAAGGAACCGGUGCUGAACAAAGGGCUGCUUAGAGCUGAGCGCUUUGUCAAUUUAUCAGCCUGUGAACACUCUGCCCCUGCGUCCCCCACUGCUGGGGAGCGUAUGGAACUCUGGUGCCUUGCUUAAUCGAAGACUAUUGAUUCGAGUGUGUCACGGUGAUCUCAUUGAGAGGAAUCAAUAGUAAUCCAAAAUCAAUCAUUCUGAUCUUGCACUACCAUUUAUCAAAUCUGAAUACGCUAAAUUAUUUGGAGGCAUCAGAUUACAAAGACAAGAAGAUGCUACAACUGGGAAAGUUAAUGGUUUGUAUUAAAAGAAAACCAGAAUAUCCUAUUUUCCUCCCAGUAAGGAAGGGACCUUGCUGGCUCAACACAGCAGACACAUACGGACGGCAUCCCGAAACUUGACUGCAGCACAGCAACAUUUUCUAAGUCUGAUAAGCUAAAGUUUCAAACGCCUGUCACUCACGGACUCAGAAAACAAGGAGCCUCGAUUGACACGGAACAUAACUGAAUCUUGGAACAUCGGAAACGGUGUUUAAUGGACCCAGAGACGGUUUGGCAUGUUAAUUUCUCCAGAGAAUGGAGAGCAUACAUGUACCUGCUUAUCAAAGACACUGCUGUUGAUGGGGAGGGUUCCUUUAUCAACAUUUCCCCGAGUAAUUUAGUGAAGGUAAUAAAUCCUUCUAUUCAUUAGCGCACACUCAAAAGCGCCCCUCCUUAUUUAACUUGAAUAGGAAAAAAAAAGGGGGGGCCCAGGAGUGUCUAAAACAUUUACUUUUGCUAAUGUAAAAGUGUUGGCAUUUUGCUGCACUCCGAUAAGCUGGUACCACUGAAGGAGAUUAGUCCUUUCUUAUUUAAACCUAUCAGCACUUCGUAAAAAGCUCUCUCAAUCUUAUCAGGAGUAUGAGCCAGCCAACGUGGUUACUGAAAACAGUCUGCACUGCUCUUCUCUCUCUCUGCCAAGCUAUCUGAUAAACCCCCAGCUAACGAACUGUAUUUACACGCAAUCAAACAGAAGUUGUAUCUUCCACUGCACUAGAGCCAGAUUCCAGUUUGCCUUUGUUUUUUUUUUUUUUUUUUUUUCUGCUGUGACAUUAACUUAACAAAAAAUGUCAGCUGCUGAGUAUCCCAAACUGACAACCAUCAGGAAAACACCAUAAAAGCACUCAGGUAGAAUGUUCUGCAAACAGAAACAAAAGAAAACACAAACGGGAGGUGUUGGGGGCAAUCUCCUUGGAACUCCCAGGGAAAAUGAAGGGCGCAGCCUGGGUUAGCAGGAGGAACCUAGCACCCGGUCGGCGAAGAGCACAGUCCUUUAGCAAAGCAGAGAGGGGAGAAACGGAUUUUUUUAAAUGGGUGUAUUUCUUGGGAAUGGGAAAGGAUAAGUAUCCAGAGAACAGGAUUUAGGAAUUCAGGGCUACCAGCCACCCCUCACUCCCUCCACCUAGAGGCCAAGCCAUGCUACAAAGGCAAGCCAAAGAAGACAAUAGACAUCAAGGAACUUACCCCAGAAACUGAAGGAAGAUAAGAGAGAAAGACACUGUCACGUAUGGUGACCACAGCUCAGGACAGACUUUCCAAUCAUUAAAACCCUCAUAAAUGCUCUACGCAUUAGAGUGUUGUUCAUUACAAAGAAAUGAGACAAUAAAGAAAU